rnacentral:misc_RNA from 1 species
GAUGAAGAACGCAGCAAAAUGCGAUAAGUAGUGUGAAUUGCAGAAUUCAGUGAAUCAUCGAAUCUUUGAACGCACAUUGCGCCCCUUGGUAUUCCGAGGGGCAUGCCUGUUCGAGCGUCAUUAUAACCCUCAAGCUCAGCUUGGUGUUGGGGCCUGCUGCACUGGCAGCCCUUAAAAUCAGUGGCGGCGCCAUCUGGCUCUAAGCGUAGUAAUUCUUCUCGCUAUGGAGUCCUGGUGGAUGCUUGCCAUCAACCCCCAAUUUUUCUAUGGUUGACCUCGGAUCAGGUAGGGAUACCCGCUGAACUUAAGCAUAUCAAUAAGCGGAGGA